rnacentral:misc_RNA from 1 species
UACGCAGGGAGGAAGCGCUAGUCGGAAUUACUUGCCGUAAAGCGCGCGUAGGUGGCUUGAUAAGCCGGUUGUGAAAGCCCCGGGCUCAACUUGGGAACGGCAUCCGGAACUGUCAAGCUAGAGUACAGGAGAGGAAGGUAGAAUUCCCGGUGUAGCGGUGAAAUGCGUAGAGAUCGGGAGGAAUACCAGUGGCGAAGGCGGCCUUCUGGACUGAUACUGACACUGAGGUGCGAAAGCGUGGGUAGCAAACAGG